AAAGUUCCUAAGAAAUUUUUGACAAAAAAAAAAAAAAGACCUAAGUUGUGAUAAGAAUAUUUUCAAAUUUACAUUUUAGAUAGAUAAACAUCUAGAAAGAUAUAGCCUAGAAUUAGUUAUGUUUCUAUGGAUUCUAAUUAAAAUCAAGCCUGAACAGCAAGUAUUUAAUUGGUAGAUCACAGAGACACCACCGUCAUCUUUAGAUAUCUUUUCAAAUUCAAAAGCAAAAUACAUUCUCAUCCAACUAGACAUCCAUGUCACUGUCUUGAACUGUAGAACAACCUAAAGGUUAAAGGCAAAAAUCUUGAAAGGAGUCAUGUUGCUAGGAAAGGAUAAGAAAAUAACUGCUAGAAAUCUAGAUCUACCGGUAUUUAAAAAAUUACCAGCCCUAAUGAUACAGGUAAGUCAUUUGAUGGUACCCAUAUUAUAAUACCGGUAAUAAUAAUAAUAGAAAAUUUUAUAAGAGAGGCACUUUUUACAAUUUGUAAUUAUAAGAUAUACACUGUGUGCUGAAAGGAACAACUUAACAUGUUCUUAACCCAAUAAAUAAAGCAAUUGCUUGAAAAGAUGAGCUGUUAAGGUUCAUCUUGAACAGAACUGUACAUUAACUUUGCAGGUUAAAUGUUCCAAAAAAUAGGUCAAUCAUAUACCAUACUAAAAAGAAAUUUUUAAAUCCGAAAAAUUCACAAACCUACCAAAAUGAAAUAAUUUUAGUUUUCAAAAAUUGAAAUUAUUGCUGGUGUCACAAUAAGCAAGACAUACCAGUUUUAAUUUCUAUUAUACUGGUACCCGAGUUUGCUUAAUCCAACGAAGCUGCAUGUCUGUCAGGACAUAUGUACUUUAGGAAUAGGCUCAACAUCCAGUUGUUUUUAAUGCUUGAAAAAAAGGGCUUAUGUAAGAGACAAAUUGACAAAGUUUAUUAGUUAAGACCUAAGCAUGUAGAUAUUUAGAUUUAGGUGUAUUGCAAUUAGAUGUGGACAAAUAAAAUUUAGCUUGUUAAUCUAAUUGAAGUAAUUGUAUUAUAAUAUAUUUUUAAUGCAUGCUAAGUAACCAGCUAAAUUUUUAUCGAAUGACCUUAAUUCCAUUCGAGAUUUUUUAUUGGCAAAUGCAUGUGCAAACUGUUGAAGGAUGUUUGUAAAGCUUGUCAAACUUUUUCUAGAUCUUUAGAUCUAGCUAUGAAGAAUACUUUCAACCUGUGAAUAUAAAUACAAGAAUGACAAUAGAUCUAGAUUCUAUAAACAAAUAUACUUGAACACACUUUUGUUUUUGUUUUUAUUUUAUUAUGUAUAAAAUUCACCUACAGACAUCACAUAUUUACAAAUAUGAAUCCAGUUACUUUUAUAUAUCCAUUAUAAAUAAAGCUAGCUAGAGAUAAUAGUGAAGAUAAUUUUUUUUUUCUAAUGAAGUAGAAGAGAUCAAUCAGAAUCUAGAGUAAAGCGUGGUUCUCAAACAAAUUAACUCCUCUCCGUAAUUAAUUUCCAUGUUCCGACGGAAUUAUUUAUUUUGUCCAUUUGAAGUUCACUCCCUAAUUAUGAUUGAACUUCAAUAACUUAUCAUAAAAUGUCU